rnacentral:rRNA from 1 species
AGCGAACGCUGGCGGCAGGCUUAACACAUGCAAGUCGAGCGGGCACCUUCGGGUGUCAGCGGCAGACGGGUGAGUAACACGUGGGAACGUACCCUUCGGUUCGGAAUAACGCUGGGAAACUAGCGCUAAUACCGGAUACGCCCUUAUGGGGAAAGGUUUACUGCCGAAGGAUCGGCCCGCGUCUGAUUAGCUAGUUGGUGGGGUAACGGCCUACCAAGGCGACGAUCAGUAGCUGGUCUGAGAGGAUGAUCAGCCACACUGGGACUGAGACACGGCCCAGGCUCCUACGGGAGGCAGCAGUGGGGAAUAUUGGACAAUGGGCGCAAGCCUGAUCCAGCCAUGCCGCGUGAGUGAUGAAGGCCUUAGGGUUGUAAAGCUCUUUUGUCCGGGACGAUAAUGACGGUACCGGAAGAAUAAGCCCCGGCUAACUUCGUG